rnacentral:rRNA from 1 species
UACGUAGGGGGGCAAGCGUUGUCCGGAUUUAUUGGGCGUAAAGAGCGUGUAGGCGGCCAGACAGGUCUGCUGUGAAAACUCGAGGCUCAACCUCGAGAUGUCGGCGGAAACCGUCUGGCUAGAGUCCGGAAGAGGAGAGUGGAAUUCCUGGUGUAGCGGUGAAAUGCGCAGAUAUCAGGAAGAACACCUAUGGCGAAGGCAGCUCUCUGGGACGGUACUGACGCUGAGACGCGAAAGCGUGGGGAGCGAACAGG